CUUCAUUGAAAUGCCUAUGUUUGUGUAAGAGAGACAAGAAGUUGUCAUCGAAAAGGUUGUUCGAAAUAAACACAAAUGUGUCACAAUUGUGAAAGGCCUUGAACUCUUUGGUAUUUGCACUUGACAUUCUUACCUCCUAUUGCACAUGGUAUCAUAAAGGCCGAGGCCCCUCACUUACAUUAAGGACAUCAAUUUUCACUAUUGGGUGGAUUUCUGUAGAAAUGUUUGCCUUUUGUGAUUUUUGAUGCUCAUAUAAUGGUAGUGGAGUAAAAUUCUUCCAAGAAACAUUCCACUGGUGUGCAAGACUUAUCUUGGUUAUGGCGUUCUUGAAGUAAUUCAACAAGAGAGGUACUUGUGUUCUCAGUACUUUUAGUUGUGCAGAUUAAACAUUUCUCCAGUUAUUUUGGCUAGGGUUACUUAAUAUAUCUUGGCUAAAACCAUUCUGUGUAGAUUGAAGAGGUGAUGGGAUGU